AAACUCAAAGGAAUUGACGGGGACCCGCACACAGCGGUGGAUGAUGUGGAUUAAUUCGAUGCAACGCGAAAAACCUUACCUACCCUUGACAUGUCCAGAAGCCCGAAGAGAUUUGGGUGUGCCCGAAAGGGAGCUGGAACACAGGUGCUGCAUGGCUGUCGUCAGCUCGUGUCGUGAGAUGUUGGGUUAAGUCCCGCAACGAGCGCAACCCUUGUCGUUAAUUGCCAUCAUUCAGUUGGGCACUUUAACGAGACUGCCGGUGACAAACCGGAGGAAGGUGGGGAUGACGUCAAGUCCUCAUGGCCCUUAUGGGUAGGGCUUCACACGUCAUACAAUGGUCGGUACAGAGGGUUGCCAAGCCGCGAGGUGGAGCCAAUCCCAGAAAGCCGAUCGUAGUCCGGAUCGUAGGCUGCAACUCGCCUGCGUGAAGUCGGAAUCGCUAGUACUCGCGGAUCAGCAUGUCGCGGUGAAUACGUUCCCGGGUCUUGUACACACCGCCCGUCACACCAUGGGAGCGGCUUCCGCCAGAAGUAGGUAGCCUAACCGCAAGGGGGGCGCUUACCACGGCGGGGUUCGUGACUGGGGUGAAGUCGUAACAAGGUAGCCGUAGGGGAACCUGCGGAUGGAUCACCUCCU
rnacentral:rRNA from 1 species